rnacentral:rRNA from 1 species
CCUACGGGAGGCUGCAGUGGGGAAUCUUGCACAAUGGGGGAAACCCUGAUGCAGCGACGCCGCGUGCGUGAAGAAGUAAUUCGUUAUGUAAAGCUCUAUCAGCAGGGAAGAAAAUGACGGUACCUGAGUAAGAAGCACCGGCUAACUACGUGCCAGCAGCCGCGGUAAUACGUAGGGGGCAAGCGUUAUCCGGAUUUACUGGGUGUAAAGGGUGCGUAGACGGCAGUGCAAGUCUGGAGUGAAAGUCGGGGGCUCAACCCCCGGACUGUUCGGGAAACUGUACGGCUGGAGUGCAGGAGAGGUAAGUGGAAUUUCUAGUGUAGGGGUGAAAUGCGUAGAUAUUAGGAGGAACACCAGUGGCGAAGGCAGGUUACUGGACUGUAACUGACGUUGAGGCUCGAAAGCGUGGGGAGCAAACAGGAUUAGAUACCCGUGUAGUC